GCUUAUUCUCAGGGCGGGGCGAAAUUCCCCACCGGCGGUAAAUCAACCAUGGCGUUGAAAGCCCGCGAGCGCUUUCUGCAACAGCAGAAAGGUCAGCAGAUCCGGUGUAAUUCCGGGGCCGACGGUUAAAGUCCGGAUGGGAGAGAGUAACG
rfam:Raoultella planticola strain GCSL-DIFS-295 CFSAN029441_contig0995, whole genome shotgun sequence.